UCGAUUGUCCCAGCCGCCGCGGUAUACGGAGGGUGCAAGCGUUAAUCGGAAUUACUGGGCGUAAAGCGCACGCAGGCGGUCUGUCAAGUCGGAUGUGAAAUCCCCGGGCUCGACCUGGGAACUGCAUUCGAAACUGGCAGGCUAGAGUCUUGUAGAGGGGGGUAGAAUUCCAGGUGUAGCGGUGAAAUGCGUAGAGAUCUGGAGGAAUACCGGUGGCGAAGGCGGCCCCCUGGACAAAGACUGACGCUCAGGUGCGAAAGCGUGGGGAGCAAACAGGAUUAGAUACCCUGGUAGUCCACGCCGUAAACGAUGUCGAUUUGGAGGUUGUGCCCUUGAGGCGUGGCUUCCGGAGCUAACGCGUUAAAUCGACCGCCUGGGGAGUACGGCCGCAAGGUUAAAACUCAAAUGAAUUGACGGGGGCCCGCACAAGCGGUGGAGCAUGUGGUUUAAUUCGAUGCAACGCGAAGAACCUUACCUGGUCUUGACAUCCACAGAACUUUCCAGAGAUGGAUUGGUGCCUUCGGGAACUGUGAGACAGGUGCUGCAUGGCUGUCGUCAGCUCGUGUUGUGAAAUGUUGGGUUAAGUCCCGCAACGAGCGCAACCCUUAUCCUUUGUUGCCAGCGGUUAGGCCGGGAACUCAAAGGAGACUGCCAGUGAUAAACUGGAGGAAGGUGGGGAUGACGUCAAGUCAUCAUGGCCCUUACGACCAGGGCUACACACGUGCUACAAUGGCAUAUACAAAGAGAAGCGACCUCGCGAGAGCAAGCGGACCUCAUAAAGUAUGUCGUAGUCCGGAUUGGAGUCUGCAACUCGACUCCAUGAAGUCGGAAUCGCUAGUAAUCGUAGAUCAGAAUGCUACGGUGAAUACGUUCCCGGGCCUUGUACACACCGCCCGUCACACCAUGGGAGUGGGUUGCAAAAGAAGUAGGUAGCUUAACCUUCGGGAGGGCGCUUACCACUUUGUGAUUCAUGACUGGGGUGAAGUCGUAACAAGGUAACCA
rnacentral:rRNA from 1 species